CAGCUAUGUAUGAUUAGUGACUAAGAGACAUUUGUCCGUCAUACUGUGUCGUAUUUUUCAACUUCGUACGAUUAGUGACUAAGAGACAUAUGUCCGUCGUACUAUGUUGAUUUUUUUAACUUUCAAUUUGAAAUAGAAUGUUAAGACAUUUUUUAUAUGGAUUAGACCGUUGGUUUUCCCGUUUGAAUGGUUUUACACUUGUAAUUUUGGGGCCCUUUAUAGCUUUUCGUUCGGUGUGAGACAAGGCUCAGUGUUGAAAGCCGUACAUUGACCUAUAAUGGUUUCCUUUUUUAAAUUGUUAUUUGGAUGGACAGUUGUCUCAUUGGCAGUCACACCACAUAUUCCUAUAUCUAUAUAACAAAUUCAUCCCGUCAGUCUGUCCAAACCUUUGUCUUUGUCCAAUAUUUAAUUAGAUGGAAUAUUUGUAGAAUUAUGGUCCAUGCAUGAUAUAUAAGCUUUAACUGUACUCAGUUUUCUUCUUGUUUUAGAAUAUCUAGAAUUAAUAUAUGUCAACCUGUCAUGCACCACCUUCUUACAUCUCAUCGUAUCUACCUAAAACUUUGUUUAGUAAUGGAUCCCUAAAAAGUGAGUGAAAGUACACAUGAGUAAGAUAACACAGCUAAUAACAUGUUGCUUUAUUUUCACAUUGUAAGAUUCUAAUAUACAAAUAUAUGUAACUGCUAGUCUUCAUAUAAUGUAAGUCUGUUCUAUUUUGGAAUAGUCUUAAUUUUACUACCAUUAAAACAAAUAUUCCUUCCUCAAAUCUUGUAGACAUAUUUAAAAUAAAUAAUAAAAUUGAGAAUGGAAAUGGGGAGUAAACCCUACUUUGCUUCAUAAAAACAAUUAUCAACAUAACUACAAGUGGCACAGUAGUAUUUUCUGGCCCAUAGGAACAGCGAUAGCCUUUUUAGAAUUUUCACCCCUUUCUAACAAUGCCUAAAAUUCUACAUACAAUUAACUGAAGUAAUUCCAUUAUAAUACUCAGAAAUGAAUUUGAAUAUUUAUCAUGACCGUUUACUUUUUUGUUAUCUUGAUAAACCUGAGGCUACUAGUGCUUAAUGUCUUUUAUCAUGCAGUGAAUACAAAAUUUAAAAAAAAUCUCAAAAAUUCAUUUUCACCUGCAUGUAAAUUUAUUUCAUAUUUUUUUUACACCUGAUUCAUCCCUCAGUUUAGGAGAUUAUGCUCAGUAGAUACUGUAGUUUUUGUCCAAUCACACUGUUCAGAUACAUUGACUUAAGUAGGUACACAAAAGAAUAACAUAAAUUCCGGAAUGUAAAUACUACAGAGUAAAAGACAUUACAAUCUUGAAACCAGUCAUGACACUUAUGAUGCAUAGACUUCUUACUAGGAAUCAUACUACAAUUUAGAAUACGAGUCUGCACUUAUAUCUUAGCAAACAAAAGAUUAUAGUCCUACCUCAGCUGGCAAAUUUCCACUUUUUGUUUUCAUCUUACCACUCUUACUGGAGGAGUGAACAAAAACCAAAUAUAUAAUGUUUCAAAUCAGCACAGAAGUAAAACAUGGUGAUUCAUGCGACAUUAUUGGAUUGUCAAUUUUAUUUCUAGUUAAUCUGACUGAAAGAAACAGUCAACAUCAAAUCUUGAAAAAAAAUUGUAAAGUCCAUUCCACAUUUUACAGCAUGCCUUACAUUCAUUUAAGCAUUUCUUGAUUAUGUAGACAACAUAACAAGAUUGUUUUGAUGGCAGUAAACUAUUAUUCUAAAAUAUUUUGACAAUACAUGUACUAGAAUAUAUCUCUAAGUUGACCGUGUUUUAUUUAUUUAUUUCGGUGAAAGUUACCUUGCAACAUACUUAACCCUUCUGUGUUUCUUAUACCUGCUUUUGGGUUGCUGGUAAAAUGGAAAGUAAAAUAAGGGAUUAUUUCAGGAGUUGAUUAGUUAACACAAAACCAGUCAAGACAAUCAUAAAAAAAUGUUUUUUUCUUUAUGAAGGUGGUACCCAACAUCUUGACUAAAAUUAAUUUAACUCGUUUAAUUUUUAUAAAGUUUUGACAAAAUGUUUACU
rnacentral:lncRNA from 1 species